UUCCCAAAGGCGGAUUCUAGCAGACUCUUGCUAGCUUUGACGAAGCGAGCUGCCUUGUGACUGUGGUCCCUAUGGCCAGUGGCCAGCGAGGAGCUGAGGCUGCCAGCCCCACAGCCUGUGAGGAAAGAGCCUACCAGUGCCUGACUUGGUUUAGUGGUGGACCCUACCCACUGAUGGUAGCCUCUGAGAGACCUGGAGCAGAGGACCCAGCCAGGCCGUGCCCAGACUCUGGAGCCAUGGAAACCAUGAGAUGGUGGAUGCAUGCUACUUCAGGCCCCUGUGUUUUGGAGCGAUUGGUUAUGCAGCAAUAGAAAACCAAGAUACUCGAAAUAAAUACAACUGCUGAAGAUGCCCAGCGAAGAAGAAUAAUAUGAACCGUCCUGUGCUGAGGCCAGGCCCUUUGCACAUGGUCUCCAUUCUCCACCCCUGCCUGACAAGGUGCCUGUAGUCAGUUUUGUUUUAAGACAAGGACACUAAAGCCGGCCGAGGGACCCGCCCAAGGCCACACAGGGAGGCGGCCUCAGGAUCAUGGGCAGCUCCGUCCAGCUCCUUCCCAGGCUCCGGGCCAUAUCCUCAGCACUGUCCCCUCAUCCUGCCCAGCUCCUCAGCGCUCGCACCCCACAGGCGCUGCCGGCAUGGGAUGCAUGCUGGCUUCCUGUCUGCUACUCACUACUUGUUUUCAGAUGUCAGACAUUUUUAAGACACGACUUUUUUUUUUUUUUUUUUUUUUUGAGAUGGCGUCUUGCUCUGUCGCCCAGGCUGGGGUGCAGUGGUGCGAUCUCAGCUCACUGCAAGCUCCGCCUCCUGGGUUCACACCAUUCUCCUGCCUCAGCCUCCUGAGUAGCUGGGACUACAGGCGCCCGCCACCACGCCCGGCUAAUUUUUUUUUUGUAUUUUUAGUAGAGACGGGGUUUCACCAUGUUAGCCAGGAUCGUCUCGAUCUCCUGAUCUCGUGAUCUGCCCGCCUCAGUCUCCCAAAGUGCUGGGAUUACAGGCGUGAGCCACCGCGCCCGGCCUUUAAGAUACAACUUUUUAAAGAAGUUGAACAGACUCUGAUACUCCCUUAAGCCCAGGUCAUCCUGGCCCUCAGUGCCUAUUCUUGAGGCAGCAUUAGAGCGGAAGACAGAUGUCAGGGAGUCGUCAGUCAGGGAGGCCCGUCCGACUUAAGACCUAGAAAGGGCCAGGGCUGCUGGAGUGGGCAGAGCAGGAGAAAACAGGCAGGUGUCAUGAUCACCAGCGCUUGCCUCUUCUCUCACCUGGACCCCUCCGUGAGGGCAAAGGAAGCCUCAGAGCCCACCUGGAGCAUCCAGAUGGACAGUGGAUAGAAAAGAACCGCCCCAGCACAGCCAGCAGCUGCUUCCAGAUCCGCCCAGGACCCCAGGCCACUUCUGUCCAUGUCAAGCUGGGAGGUGGGUACAGUCAGAUAGACUUGCCAAGUCACCCAACUCCCAACGUCUUACAAAUGAAUCAGAGGAGCUGUGCACUGGCUGAUGAGAACCACCACCUGGCCUGGGCCUGAGCGGGUAGCUGGUUCUGUCAACGUGAGGUCUGAACAGAAUCUCAGGAAACAAUAUUUAGUUAACUUGGCCUCUAUCAUCCUUGGGGCAAUAGAUUUCUGCAAGCCUUUGUUGCUUUUUGUGGGGGAACAAGUAUGAAAAGUAUAAAAGCACUUUUUGAACUUUUUGCAGAAAAUUUCGUAUCCUCAUAUUUGCUUCCAGGCAGUCCAUCCUGGCCCCUUACCCUUUGCUGCCAGAAGGCUUGUCUGUAAUAGUGUCCUAGGGAAAGGCUAGUUCUGUGCUAAGAAAGAUGGAGCUCAUGGGCCCCAGGCCGUCCAUCGCGGCUUAUCUUGGAUUUCUCUUUGUGAAGUGGGGGGAUGGUAGCGGAGUCUACUUCCAUCCUAGGGCCUCCAUGGGAACUGUUCCUCAGUCAUUUGUAAGAAAGAGCUGUGGCCUCCCGAUGGCACGGGUGAAAAGGGCUCCCAGCGAGAAGAGGGAUUUGUCAGGAACGCUAGACAUUCUCCCAGCCCGGCCCAGGGACCCCCUUUGGACUUAAUUUCCUUUCAUCCUCUGCAGGCACAAAAACAUCACUAAGGGUCACAUAUUUUUUCCAGUUUGUCAUCUUGGCAAGCUGAAUCUGAGAACAUGUUUGUUGAAUUUCUAUCCCCAAAUCUUUCCAGGUUUGCAUCAAAGAGGAAAAGCAUACAGCAUUUCCUUCUGUCUAGCUUGCUAAGCCAAAUCUAACAGAGAAUAAUGAUCCCUACCAACUGCCAGAGUUAAGGGGUACCCGCUAGCCACCCCCUCCCCCAACAAAAUAUGCAUAAUCAUGCAAAGGCUGCAGGAGGCCAGCUGGAAACCCAGAAGGUCUGACUGUGGCUUCUGGUCUAUUGAAAGACUUGGCUUUGCUGUUUUGUUUGAUAAAGGAGGGAAAUUUCACUUUCUGUCCUUUAGACAGGGAGUGAGCCUGUGGUCGGCCUGAGGUAUCUUGCAACUACAAGCACUAAAUAAGCUCCUGACUCAUCUCUCCCCUGUGGCUUAUGGAGAAGGUAGGGACAGGAUGAGUUCCUUGGUGCUUAAUCAUACAAUGCCUUGGCAUUUCUGUCCAGGUACCCAGUAGCUGUCAGGCUGGGCCUGUAUGAUACAGAUCCAAGAGAAUGAAUCAAAGUGCGGACGUGAAGAUGCUGUUGUUAGCAUGGCUACGGGAAAUGUGGAAAGUAAGAAAGUCCACGCACCUGCCUACUUGCUUCCAAAGCCUUCCCCAGCUUAGCCUCCACACAGUCCACCUUGGACUGGAGUGGCCGCUACUGGAUUUUCCCAAGGGUGUCAUUAUGCGGACACCCGGGUUUUGAUUCACGGCUGAGCUACUGCCCUUACUCUCAAGUUCUGUUUAACGAAGGCAUGUGCAUGAGAAAUGCUAAUGAUACUCCUUUAAGAAGUUCAGUGUGGUACAACUCAAGCUCCUCAGUAAGUCACAAACAGUUUAGGAAAAUGACUGCAGCUGAGUGAUGCCCUUUUGGUGGAGGCAUGCCUUUUUAUUAACCUAUAAGCAUGGCAACAGUAAAUGGUGUGUAGCACCCAUGAACUACGACCCAGGGACAGAGACAGCACCAGGAAGGGGCCAGCCUCACUUUCCGAACUAAAACAAAAGUGGCUGAGCACAAGUUAGUCACACCUUUUAGGGAGGUAUGAAAUGGCCACAGACUCCACAAGGGCGGGACUGUGCUGCUGUGUUUUCUGGGCCUAGUGUCUGGCGUGCAGUGGGCUCUCCAUCUGUGUUUCUUACAUGAGUCAGUGAUCUCCCUCGCUGGGCUUUCUCUCUUUGGAUUCAUGACAUCAGCUUCUCAGGUCAGUAUUAAAUAGGGCUCUUUUGGCCUGGCAGGGUGGCUCACGCCUGUAAUCCUAGCACUUUGGGAGGCCAGGGCGGGGGGAUCACCUGAGGUCAGGAGUUCGAGACCAGCCUGGCCAACCUGGUGAAACCGCGUCUCUACUAAAAA